UCGCCUGUUUAACAAAAACAUAGCUUUAUGUAAAUUUAUAUAAAGUCUUACCUGCCCAAUGAUAUUAUUUAAUGGCCGCAGUACUUUGACUGUGCUAAGGUAGCAUAAUAAAUUGACUUUUAAUUAAGGUCUAGAAUGAAAGGAUAAAUGAAUAUUUACUGUCUCUUUAAAAUUUAAAUUAAUUUUCUUAAUAGGUGAAAAUUCCUUAAAAAAAAUUAAAUGGACGAGAAGACCCUAGGAGUUUAGAAAAUAAUUUUGUUGGGGCAACAUUAUAGUAAGAAACCUAUAAUAAAAUAAUUAUAUAUAACAAAACAUAUUAAUUUAAAGUAAGCUACCCUAGGGAUAACAGCAUAAUUUACUUAUAAAGCAAGUUUGUGACCUCGAUGUUGGAUUAGGGACUUUAAAUAUUAAAUAUAUUUAUUGACAUGUUCUGUUCGAACAUUUUAUACCUACGUGAUCUGAGUUCAGACCGGA
rnacentral:rRNA from 1 species